rnacentral:misc_RNA from 1 species
GCUGGUCCCAGACAGC